ACGGGUGAGUAACACGUAGGCAACCUGCCCGUAAGCUCGGGAUAACAUGGGGAAACUCAUGCUAAUACCGGAUAGGGUCUUCUCUCGCAUGAGAGGAGACGGAAAGGUGGCGCAAGCUACCACUUACGGAUGGGCCUGCGGCGCAUUAGCUAGUUGGUGGGGUAACGGCCUACCAAGGCGACGAUGCGUAGCCGACCUGAGAGGGUGACCGGCCACACUGGGACUGAGACACGGCCCAGACUCCUACGGGAGGCAGCAGUAGGGAAUUUUCCACAAUGGACGAAAGUCUGAUGGAGCAACGCCGCGUGAACGAUGUAGGUCUUUCGUGAUUGUAAAUGUUCUCGUUGUCA
rnacentral:rRNA from 1 species